UACGGAGGGUGCGAGCGUUGUUCGGAAUCACUGGGCGUAAAGGGCGUGUAGGCGGUCCGCUAAGUCUGAUGUGAAAGCCCGGGGCUCACCCCCGGAAGUGCAUUGGAAACUGGCGGAUUCGAGUCCCGGAGAGGAGAGUGGAAUUCCUGGUGUAGCGGUGAAAUGCGUAGAUAUCAGGAGGAACACCGGUGGCGAAGGCGGCUCUCUGGACGGUGACUGACGCUGAGACGCGAAAGCGUGGGGAGCAAACAGG
rnacentral:rRNA from 1 species